UCAAAUGGAUCUUUUCAUACAAUUUAGUUAAACUUUCAAGUCCCAGAACUCUAUCAAUAAUAUUCCUUCUCCGGUUCACUCCUUCAAUCUCAUUCACAUAGAUUGAUUCGCUUGUUCCUUUCUCGUUUUAGAUCCAAUCAGUUUAUAGGUUUCUCGACAAAAACCAACCAUUGAUCUGAGAUGGCUGAUACCAUGAAGCAAAUCUUAGCGAAGCCGAUCCAACUGUCCGACCAGGUGGGGAGGCUAGUUCGGUCAAACAGCGGGUGAGAAGCUUGCUGGUCUUCUCCGCCAGGUUGCCCGCGCUAGUUCUGAUCGAUAUGAGUGUCCCACUCACCGUAUUAUGACACGGAGGAGAUACUGGACAAGGCUUUCUCCUUCGUCCUCAAGUGCCGAGCCAACGGCAUCAUCCCCACCGCCGCCUUCCACAAGAUGUCUGCUCAGUAGGAGAACUCUCAGUGACGUUUCUUGGCUCCUCCUCUGUGUCUCCGCUCCCGCUGAGGAUCGCGAUUACCUUGGCUCUUUCCUCGUUUCUCUUUCCCGUGAUAACGAUCGCUACACUAAGUUUAUCAUCGAGGAAGGGGCGUAGGAUCAUGUCUUUACAGAAGGGGAACAAUUGUCGGCGGCGGCUCACUUCACUUGUUACAGCAGUUCGACGAGAGAAACGAUGGAUGUGUACAACUAGAAGCUCAUGGGGUUUUUAGCUCACUUAUGUGUCCCAAUCCGCAGCUAAGAGGGUUUCUAUCAAGUCGAGGGCUUGGCGUGAGAUGUUCUGUUUCGCUCGAUAGAGAUACUCCCAUUACUGAUUCCUUCUCUUCUCACCUGAAUUUCUUCACUCGAGCUAAACAAGUGAAGAGAAUUGAGAUCAGUGAUCAACAUAGCUUGGCUACUCAAAAGAAAGAUUUUUAUGGUCUUUGAUCCAUCACAGUGGGUACAAAUUCCUUUCGUCGAAGGGAAGACUGAUGGGAUCGAAGAGCCAAAGAAGAAGCAUAAAACAAAGGCCAAGGCUUAGAAGACUUGUGGGUUAACAUAUUUUUGGAUGGUUAUUAUGUAUCUUGGUUUUUCUUUUGAACUUAUGUAGGAUGAUAUGUAAGUCCUGCUAGUGUUGAAUCCAUGUAGGAUGAUAUGUAAGAUUAUUGCUUCUGUUGUUGCAGGUUUGGACCACUAGAUACUAGGUAUUAUUGUGUGCUAAAAACAAAA